CGCGGGAUGCCCUAAUUCAGGCUCAUAACCUGAAGGUCACAGGUUCAAAUCCUGUCCCCGCAACCA
rnacentral:tRNA from 1 species